rnacentral:rRNA from 1 species
CGGGCUUGAACUGCAGCUGAACGAUUCAGAGAUGAUGAGGCCCUUCGGGGCUGCCACGGAGGUGCUGCAUGGUUGUCGUCAGCUCGUGCCGUGAGGUGUCGGCUUAAGUGCCAUAACGAGCGCAACCCCUGUCUACGGUUGCCAUCAGGUAAUGCUGGGAACUCCGUAGAGACUGCCGUCGUAAGGCGUGAGGAAGGUGGGGAUGACGUCAAAUCAGCACGGCCCUUACGUCCGGGGCUACACACGUGUUACAAUGGCGCAUACAGAGUGUUGGUUUCAUGCAAAUGAGAUCUAAUCUUCAAAGUGCGUCUCAGUUCGGACUGGGGUCUGCAACCCGACCCCACGAAGCUGGAUUCGCUAGUAAUCGCGCAUCAGCCAUGGCGCGGUGAAUACGUUCCCGGGCC